GGCCCGAUGGUCUAGUGGUAUGAUUUUCCCUUAGGGAAGUUCUCGCAUGAGUCAUCCAGCUUGGGAGAGGUCCCGGGUUCAAUCCCCGGUCGGGCCC